CGGUGCGGAGCUUACACAUGCAAGUCGAGCGGUAACAGGGGGUGCUUGCACCCCGCUGACGAGCGGCGGACGGGUGAGUAAUGCAUAGGAAUCUGCCCAGUAGUGGGGGAUAGCCCGGGGAAACCCGGAUUAAUACCGCAUACGCCCUUUGGGAGAAAGCAGGGGAUCUUCGGACCUUGCGCUAUUGGAUGAGCCUAUGUCGGAUUAGCUAGUUGGUGGGGUAAAGGCCUACCAAGGCGACGAUCCGUAGCUGGUCUGAGAGGAUGAUCAGCCACAUCGGGACUGAGACACGGCCCGAACUCCUACGGGAGGCAGCAGUGGGGAAUAUUGGACAAUGGGGGCAACCCUGAUCCAGCCAUGCCGCGUGUGUGAAGAAGGCUUUCGGGUUGUAAAGCACUUUCAGUGAGGAGGAAAACCUUCUGGUUAAUACCCAUGAGGCUUGACGUUACUCACAGAAGAAGCACCGGCUAACUCCGUGCCAGCAGCCGCGGUAAUACGGAGGGUGCAAGCGUUAAUCGGAAUUACUGGGCGUAAAGCGCGCGUAGGUGGUUUGAUAAGCGAGAUGUGAAAGCCCCGGGCUUAACCUGGGAACGGCAUUUCGAACUGUCAG
rnacentral:rRNA from 1 species